rnacentral:rRNA from 1 species
GUAUUAGGCAACAACCUUUCCUCCUCGCUGAAAGUGCUUUACAACCCGAAGGCCUUCUUCACACACGCGGCAUGGCUGCAUCAGGGUUUCCCCCAUUGUGCAAUAUUCCCCACUGCUGCCUCCCGUAGGAGUCUGGACCGUGUCUCAGUUCCAGUGUGGCUGAUCAUCCUCUCAGACCAGCUAGGGAUCGUCGCCUUGGUGAGCCAUUACCUCACCAACUAGCUAAUCCCACCUGGGCAUAUCCAAUCGCGCAAGGCCCGAAGGUCCCCUGCUUUCCCCCGUAGGGCGUAUGCGGUAUUAGCAGUCGUUUCCAACUGUUAUCCCCCUCGACUGGGCAAUUUCCCAGGCAUUACUCACCCGUCCGCCGCUCGCCGGCAAAAGUAGCAAGCUACUUUCCCGCUGCCGCUCGACUUGCAUGUGUUAGGCCUG